AAUGGCAUUGUGCUUCCACAGUGAUUUAUCUUCCCCUUUUUUUAAACACCAGAAUUAGCAGUUGUAGAGGCUGUCCUUCAAAAACAUAUGAUCGACGGAAAAAUAUUCAUAUAACACUUUUUGUUGUUGUUUUGUUUUGUUUUUUUCAUUUUCGGGUCUUGUUCUGUUGCCCAGACUUGGUUGAAGUGUCACAAUUAUGACUCACUGCAGCCUCAAAUUCCUAGCCUCAAGCAAUCCUCCUAACUCAGCCUCCUGGGUCACUGGCAUUAUAGGACUGAGCCACUGUGCCUAGCUAAAAGAAUUUCAAUUACUGUCCAUUUACUGAUAUUUUGCUAUGGAAAAAUUCAAACAUCAAUAAUUUUGCUAGUUGCCCACCUCUUCUUGCAUCAUUGAGUAAUGGCUUAACAAGCCCCCUUAGUUCACUAACACAACUGUAUAGACAUAUAGAUGUAGACAUAAAUAUAGAUAUUGAUUUAUUGUAAAUAAAGUCCAGAUGCUAUAACUGGGUUAAUGGAGAUAUAUUGAAUGUCCUCAUUGUUUCAAGGCCUAUGCUGUCAAGAUACGGUAAAGAAUCAAGAAACAGAGAAGAGAAAUGGAGAAUCCUGGAACAAUGCUAUCUAUAAAGAAUAAUGCAAGCCACGGCCAGAUGCGGUGGCUCACGCUUGUAAUCCCAGCACUUUGGGAGGCCAAGGCAGGUGGAUCACCUGAGGUCAGGAGUUCAAGAUCAGCCUGGCCAAAAUGGUGACCCCCCCCACCCCCCCCACCCCCGUCUCUACUAAAAAUACCAAAAUUAGCUGGGUGUGGUGGCUGGUGCCUGUAAUCCCAGCUACUCAGGAGGUUGAGGCAGGAAAAUCGCUGGAACCGGAGAGGCAGAGGUUGCAGUAAGCUAAGACAGCAGCACUGCACUGCAGCCUGGGUGACAGAGCGAGACUCUGCCUCAAAAAAAAAAAUAAAAAUAAAAAAGAAUAAUGCAAGCCGCAGAUGUAAUUUUGAAUUUUCCAGUAAGCACAUUUUAAAAAUUAAUAAGCAGGUAAAGGAAUUUUAAUAAUUACUGUAUUUAAAACAAAAUGCAAAAUAAUUAUUUCAAAAUAUAGUCAAUAUAAAAACAUUAUUCAAUAUUUCACAUUUUUUUUAAAUCUUAAGUCUUCUAAAUAUGAGGGACAUCCUAUUCAAUUUGAUAUUACAUUUUUGUUGGAAAUAAAUGGAAUUUCAUUUUGCUUUCAUAAACUUCAGUGCUGAAAAGUUAAAUUCAUAUAGCUGACUGUUUAAAACAUAUUCUAACAUUUUCCAAUAACUGAAGUAUCAGCCUUCGAAUUAAAAUAAUGAAAAUUAAGUAAAAUAAAAAUUCAGGCCGGGCACAGGGGCUCACGGCUGUAAUCCCAGCACUUUGGGAGGCCGAGGUGGAUGGAUUACUUAAGGUCAGGAAAUCGAGACCAGCCUAGCCAACAUGGUGAAACCCUGUUUCUACUAAAAAUACCUCCACCACCCCCCACCACCGGCCUCAAAAAAAAUAAGCCGGGUGUGAUGACAAGCAUCUGUAACUCCAGCUACUCUGGAGACUGAGGCAGGAGAAUCCCUUAAACUUGGGAGGUGGAGCUAACAGUGAGCUGAGAUCACCCCACUGCACACCAUCUGAGUGACAGAGCAAGACUCCUUCUCAAAAAAAAGAAAGUCAGUCCUCAGCAGCAACAACCACAUUUCAAAUGCUCAGUAGCCACAAUUAGUUUCUGACUGUUUUAUCACAUAACGCAGAUCCUAUGGGAAAUUGUGUUCAGGUAUGGAGAUAGUGAUGGAAAUUACUGAUUAAUACAAGUGAGCUGCUAAGUUCUUAUGUAAUCAUGUAAAUUUUGCACUGACUUCUAAAAUAAAGCUUUACACAUAUUUAAAGAUGAGGAUUAUGAAAGGAACUGAAGGUAGGUUCCCAUGGCAGAACACCGGAUUGACAGAUUUAAGAACACUGGGGAGGAAAUAAAACUAUGGGGCAUAAAGAUGGAAUUUCCUUAAUGGUUCUCACUGACUGUGACUUAAAAGUUUAUCUUUUGAUUUUGGAAACAUUUUUUAGAUGUAGAUAUUAACAUUCUAAUAAUAGAAAUGAAAAAACUAAAAUGAAAAUGAGAAAACAAAAGAUACUAUCAAUAAACAGGUCUUGGGCCUCAGAAGACAAGAUGUAGGGAGUGUGGAGAGGAAAAGCACAGAGGGGGCAUAGCUCUCAUUAACAAACAGCCCAGCCCACAAAUAGGUGAUCAUAUUGUACAAAAGGAUUUCAGUUCCUUCCUUGCUUCCUAUAAAACAAUUUUGCCAAAAAUACCUAACCGUUUUACCUUGAUUUAAAGCGUACAGAAUUUUCUUUUUCUGAAAAGGAGAGAAGAAGGGACUCAUAUAUAUUUCAGAUGUGAGACUGAAACGCACGACAAUGUGUAAUUUCAGUCAAGACUUGCCCACGAGUCCUAAGAUAAUUCAAAUUUGCAAAAUAGACACUAACUUGAAAGGUGCAAUUUUAUCAAUCCUGUGGUUAGCAGAAUUUUGAUGAAUGCCCUAAAAUAGGGCAGGUUUAACACAAUUCAGGGAAUGAGCAGGAAUGCACAAAGCAUCCUUUGUCUCCUCCCCCCUCCAGCUUGCAGACAUCCGCGAGCAUUUGCGGGCAGAGAUAAAUUUGGUUUAGCCGUCUCCCCUCCCUGGAGGACGGGGGCUCCAGCAUAUUCAUGAUGUCAAUCGCCUUGGACUACAUGCCAGCGUCCUUGCGAACCUGCUACAACACUUUACAAAAUAGCUUUCCAAUGAGAAAGAAAACCUACUGGGAAAAAAAAACAAAAAGAAACUAGACCUUGCAACAGGCACGCACGCGCACUAUCCCCCUCUGAAAUAUUUAUAGUACGCUUACACAAACUCGAACUUGUAAAUCUAAACUCUGCCUGAACCAAAGUAGCCAAUAGAUUAAAAGUAUGUAAAUUAGGAAUUCCCAAACUGCUCUUUUUAUUGGCUAGGAAAAGAACACCUUACAGGGAAUCCGGUAGGUUAAUUUACAAUACUGUUAGGCUAUAAUGUCAUUCCUUAAGAAUCUUUUCCAGUAAACAUUUGUUACGUUUUCAAAGUAAUUGGAAGCCGCUGAGUUUGGAAGCGAAAACCAAGUUAAGAAGUCCUGUUAUUUGGGUGAGUCCAGUUCCUGUAAACGUUCUGUUGGAUGUGUCUUAAAUUGUUCGGUGCACCUCAGCUCUCUUCCGCAGGGAUCCGGAGAAACUGCGCCAUUGUUGUCUUAUAAAGAAACAACCUAAGACUCUCUUCGCCGCCAUCUUUUUGAAGAUUUUAUAUUGAAAAUACUUUUUUGACGGCUCUUGCCAUGUCUGGACAUUUUAAUUUCAACAAAACGAAAUAGUAGCGUUAAAUUCUUUUAGUCAAACCCGAUAUUAGAGGUAAGGAUUCCAGGAUGUUAGAAUUUUACUAUAACACAACUGAAACACAAAGUUCCUUAUGCUUAAACAGUGUAUCUUAGAAAACCUUGUUUGAGUGAAUUAGCUACGUACUGUAUAAUGAAACGAGGAAUCAUUGAGAGAUACUUAGACAACGGAUUUUAAAUGAGUGAAUAGGGAAGGGAAAAACUUCAGGAAAAUGAAGCAGAAAAAAGCAGCGGAGAUUUUUGAAAAAAUUCUAAAGCACUUUCUAAUGCAAACACAUUCGAUUUUUUAUAGCCAAACAGGAUAAAAGAUCAGUCUAUUAAGUUAAAUGAUCAAUAUCUUUGCAGGUCAUGCUCUGUGAAACAUCAAAGAAACCUGUAAUAAAAAAAGACUUGUUUGAAAGAGCCAGUUUUCUAUCCAAAUUUACCAAUCAGAAUCUUGCACUGAAAAAAUAAACCAAUCGUGAAUCUCUACGACCACUUCCGGAAUUUACCAACGGAUCACUAACAGGGAUUGUCCACAAUCCAAUCAGAGUGAUUCUGUUCCUGUAUAAAUAGAGGGGCAAACCAAUCUUCCUAACUCACUUACUUGGCAGAUGAGCUAUGGCGCGUACAAAGCAGACGGCUCGUAAAUCCACAGGCGGUAAAGCACCGCGCAAGCAGCUGGCCACUAAGGCAGCUCGCAAGAGCGCUCCGGCCACGGGCGGCGUGAAGAAGCCCCAUCGCUACCGCCCUGGUACCGUGGCUCUGCGGGAGAUCCGUCGCUACCAGAAGUCCACCGAGCUUCUAAUCCGGAAGCUGCCGUUUCAGCGCCUGGUGCGAGAAAUCGCUCAGGACUUCAAGACCGACCUGCGCUUCCAGAGUUCCGCGGUGAUGGCGCUGCAGGAGGCCUGCGAGGCCUACUUGGUGGGGCUUUUCGAGGACACCAACCUGUGUGCUAUCCAUGCCAAACGCGUGACCAUCAUGCCUAAGGACAUACAGCUUGCCCGCCGCAUUCGCGGGGAGAGGGCGUAAAUUGUUUUGAGUGCAAACCUUAAAUCCAAAGGCUCUUUUUUCAGAGCCAACCAUUUUGUCCAUGAAAAAAGCUGUAAUCCUUUGAGACGCAUUAGACCACUAAACUGCACUGAUCCAAAUAGACAUUUGAAAUAGUGGCAUUCAGUCCUCAAUGCUUCAUUUAAGUUUCCAAAUUUAAGCGCUUCCUCGGGUUUCGCCUGGGGCUGGGCCUCCCUACGCCGUUCUCCAUUGGUUUAGCUGGCUUUGUUUUGCUGUUCAGGCCCGCUGCUUCUUUCUUGUACUUUGUUCUCGUUUUCUAACUCGGCCACUUGGCCCCUGCUUAACCCAUCCUCUUGUUUUCUGGCUCUUAACGCUCUUUCAAGUGGUGGCCUGCAUUUUAGGUCUUAACUGCCUAGGCUUCCAACGCCUUGGAUUUGCCUUUCCCUGAUGUUUAUUUGACCUUGCCCGAGGGGCCAGCGCUUUUGGUCUGCAUCAGGCUGCCUUACUCCACUAGUGUUUUCAGACCCAGCUACUUGCCGGCGACGGUCGGCGCCUUGGGUGCGGUCAAGAUUACCCUCUCUGUGCGCCUGAUACUGGUCUAAGGCUAAGGUUAUUAGCUGGAACACCUAGACCCCUGGCACUACCACACAGCUCUUGCAGACUUGACAGCCUUGCUUAGGUUCUAAACUGCAGGAGUCAAAGCAACGAAGGUGCAGAUGGGUGUCUCAGACAGACCUGAGUGCGAAAGGAAAAUGCAGAAAUCAUGAGCCCUUUCAACUUCCCAGCUGAUAUCUUUUGUUUGCUUUUUUCUUUUCUUUUCUUUUCAUUCUUUUCUUUUUUAUUUUUUUAUUUUUUUUUUGAGACGGAGUUUCGCCCUUGUUGCCCAGGCUAGAGUGCAUUGGCGCGAUCUCGGCUCACCGCGACCUCCGCCUCCCGGGUUCAAGCGAUUCUCCUGCCUCAGCCUUCCCAGUAGCUGGGAUUACAGGCAUGAGCCACCUCGCCCGGCCUUCCGGCUGGUAUCUUAAAAGAACUUUUCAACUUUAGUAAAUACCCUGUCUUAAUCAAAUCUCAUUAAAUGUACCCCAUAUUUAUCAACAAAACAUGAAAAUCCUUGGACGGCUUCAAAGUUCUUACAGAAAAUAUUCUGCCUUUCCUUUCCCUACAAAGGCACAGCUUCGAAACUGGUAGAUGAAGGGAAGGAAAAUAAGGAAUUCUGUUCCGAAAUCAUACAGGCUGUUAUUUAGAAAUACAGACGGGUGUGUGUACUAUAUGGGAUACUACAUGCUGUUUGGAAGAAUUUUGUUUAUUUGAACAUUUCAGCAAAUUCCUCAGUUUUGAAAUGGGGUGGAGUAUUUUUAACUGUCAUUGAGAAAUUUCUAUUAACUUUUUUUAAUGUGCUCUUUUCCCACAAGUUGCACUAAGGAAAGAGGUUAGUCAUGUGGUAAAAUUAAUAGUGACAAAGCUGUAAAUAGCUCUGCAGGCCAAGGUGGCCAUAGUAAGAAGUUCUGGAGAUUUAUGGAAGAAAUUUUUGUUCAUGGAAGCCUGUCAGACAUGAAGACGUGGGUCUUGUGAAUUGGAGAUUCAGUGCAUGAGGAAAACCGCAUAACUAUCCAUAAUUAAGCUGUUGGACUUCAGUACUUGAGGACUUGGACUUGGUGGACACAGAAUGCAUCUUUUUAUAUCAUUAAAUUCACCAGGACAUCUAGCAUGGUCAUUGGCCUAAAACAAAGCCUCCAGAAAUUUACUCAAGUUGAGAUUUAAAAUACAAGAUUACUGAACAGAAUUUACCAUUGAGUGCAUUCCUAUUUACAAAAAAUAAAAGAUUAGAUAAAGUUUA